rfam:Schistosoma curassoni strain Dakar, Senegal genome assembly, scaffold: SCTD_scaffold0013556
AUCCAGCUGACGAAUCCCAAAUAGAACGAAACGUACUUCCUAGAU